rnacentral:rRNA from 1 species
UGUAAGCACUGUGAAGCGUUGAUCUAACCAAUACUUAAUGACCGUGAGGAUUGACCAUAUAACACCCAAG